rnacentral:rRNA from 1 species
AUUGAACGCUGGCGGCAGGCCUAACACAUGCAAGUCGCACGAGUGGCGGACGGGUUAGUAAUUUCUGGGAAACUGCCCGAUGGAGGGGUAUAACUACUGUAAACGUUAGCUAAUACCGCCUACCAUCGUCUGUGCCCCGAUGGGCUUAGCUAGUCGGUGGGGUAACGGCUCACCUAGGCGACGAUCCUUAGCUGGUCUGAGAGGAUGACCAGCCACACUGGAACUGAGACACGGCCCAGACUCCUACGGGAGGCAGCAGUGGGGAAUAUUGCACAAUGGGCGCAAGCCUGAUGCAGCAAUGCCGCGUGUAUGAAGAAGGCUUUCGGGUUGUAAAGUACUUUCAGCGAGGAGGCGUUACUCGCAGAAGAAGCACCGGCUAACUCCGUGCCAGCAGCCGCGGUAAUAC